AUGUGCUCCUAUUUUCCUUUCUAUACCAUAUCCCCAGGGAUCCUUAGGUCCAUAUUUAGCAGGACUGUCUCUGUCACCAAAAGUAAUGAUGGGACACCCAGUACAACCAACAUUAAAAAGUCAACUACCUCAACUUUCAUCAUCCAGCUGAAACAUCUCUGUGUUCUUUCUAUAGAGCCUUCAGAAAGGCAAAGGCCUUCUUGAAGACAUAAUCUGGAUUAACAUUCUUCACUUCAAAUAAAAGGACAGAAACAGAAGAGACCUUGAAAUUCUCAUAGGACUCGAAAGACAAAUUUGGAAAUGUGAGGACACAAUAUUCCAAAGCGAAGAGAAGAGUAAAUAACUGAACACUUUUUCCCCCACUAAGAAUUUUCCUAUAACUGAGCUGAAUAACUUGGGACAAAACAUCCCUUGAAAGGCAUAGCACUUAUUUUCUAUAGUGUCUUUGUAAUAUAAGAAUUGAAAUUCAGGAUUUGCCAAAGGGUCCCCCCAACCACAGAAAAUUAACAGGUUCUCAGAAGAAAGCACCAAAAAUUGUAUAUCUUAGGCUCUAAAAAAGUAGGUAGUCUUUCAAAAAAUAAAAUACAGACUUGGCUCAGGACAGUUUCUGAUUAGAGUAAAAUCACAAGCCACAUUCUAUAUGCCUAGCUGAGAAAAGGUAAAGACUACAGCUCUAUAAAUUUUAGUAUAUCAUGUCUGUCUUUAAAUUUUAAAAAGUGUUAAGCAUGCCAAAAGGAAAAUGAGAUUAAAAGCCAAGGAAAAUAAAAAGACCCAAAUACACUCAAGAUAGUAAGCUAGCAGACAAAGAUUUUUAAGUCAUUGUGUCAGCAUGUACAAGAAUAUAGAAACAAAGAUGGAGAACAUGUAUUAAGAGGUAAGCCUUCACCAGAGUAUUGUCAUUUACUGAAAAAUAUAAAUUCUGUAACAGGAAAACAUUAUAAUUGAAAUUAAGAACCUAAACAGGCUUAUUAACAGCAGUUUUGACACACAAAACCACAAAAAUACUCAACUGGAAGGCAUAUCAACAAAAAAUCAAGUAGAAGAGCUGAAAUGAAAAAAUAGCAUAGAAAAAAGUAGAACAUACUUGUGACAUACAAUGCUGGGUUCUAAGAAAAGAAGUAGAAGCCAUGCAUGGAGAAAAAAAAUGUAUUUCUAUAUUUUAGAAACUUCUAAACUGAUCAAAGAAUUUUAGAAUUUUGUAGGCAGUAAAAUUACCUUUCAGCUGAGAAUAAUACACACUCCUACAAUCCCAGUUACUUGGGAGGAUCACAAGCUCAAGGCCAGCUUGGAUAACUUAGGGGCACACUGUGUCAAAAUGAAAGGGGUGAGAGCGGGUGAAGGGAGGGCAGGGACAAGGGGAAAAAAUGAGAACUAAGACCUGUCAUGUAAAGGUACAAGAUUCCAAUGAUGAAUGUAACUGUACUGUAUACCUAAAAUGUACCGAUAAACUCAAUGAGAGAAAAAAAUGAAAGGGGUGGGGUGGUGGUGGUGGUGGUGGUGGUAUAGUUCCAGUAGUAGAAAGACUCUAGCUUCAAUCUCUAAUACUGGGGAAAUAAAAAGACUACAAACAAACAAAAAUUCUAGAAUGAAGAAAUAAAGACUCUCUCAAAUAAACAAUAAUUGAGGAAAUUUCUAUUUCAAACUCAAGCUAAAUUAAAUAACACAUGAACACAUCUAGUAAAGCCUUUUAAUACUAAAGAUAAAAGUGAAACCUUAAAAUCAACAAAAGAAAAUGACAUAUUACUUAAAAUAAUAACUAAAUUAUCAACAUAAACAAUGAAAGCCAGGAGACAACAGAACGAUGUUUCUUAAACUGCUAAUUUAGAAUUCUAUGACCAGUGAAAUCUCUAUAAAAAUGAUUUUAGUAAGGACAUCUUGAGGGAAAAAAAAUAAUUCAUUGUUAGGAAAGAUAGUAAUGAAAGAAUAAAUAAAGAACACUAGAAAGAACAAAUAUAUAUAUGUAAAUAUAAAUGAAUAUUUGGAGCCAGGGUGGUACACGCCUAUAAUCCCAGUACUCUGAGAUGCAGAGGCAGAAUGAUUGCAAAUUUAAGCACAGCCCAGAAAAUUUGGAGAUUUACUAAGAACUUGUCUCAAAAUUUAAAAAGUAAAAAAUAAAAAAUGAAAACAAAAAGGGCUGGAGAUGAAGCUCAGUGCAAAGGCCUUGUAUUCAGUCCCCAGUCCCACAAAAAAAUAUUAGGUUUAAGAAAAAACAGAAUAUUUUGUGAGAUUAUAAAACAUGACUGUGUAACUGUUUGGGAGAGAAUUAAAUGACAUUAAUAUGUUCUAAAAUUCUAACAUUACUGGCUAAAUGAUAAAUUGUUUCUAUUGGACUUUAGUAAUUCAGGGGUACGUGUUGUAACCUCCAAGCUAACCACUAACAGAAUAAUAAAGUAAAGGGUAUGAUGUAUCAAGCUAGUAGAGGAGAAAAGGAAAUAAUUAAAAUGUUUCAUUAAGACUUUAGUAUUAUUAAUUAAUUGAUACAUAAGUAAUAAUGGAAGCAAAAAUGGAC
rnacentral:lncRNA from 1 species